GAUUAAAAUAAUAGAAAGGGUAGAAAGGAAAUGAUAUGGACCAGGUAUUUUGAUUACGUCUUUUCAUUUUCCUUUUUGAGUGUUGCUUGGUAUCAUUUUCCCUAGGCUUCUAGAUACAUCACUAAUUUAUUAAAUUCAGAUCCCUUGAAUAUCUGCAUGUCCUCUUAGUAUAGCCAUUGUGCCUUAUAGAUUUUUUAUGAUGUGUAUUAACAUUCAUUCACUUCUAAGAAUUUUAAACUUUAUUCUUGAACGUAAUUAACUAUGUUUAGUGGAAUCAUAACCUUGGAAUCAUUUAGUCAAAUACUUGGUCUUAUUUUUACAUGAAUAUUAUGUAUACUUAUGACACAGUUGAGCUACAGCACAAGUAAUAUGAUAAUUGACCAUAUUUCCAAACUCCAGUAACCUUUCCCCCAGAGAAAUCCUACAUUAAUUUACCAGUUUAGUUCUAUAUGGAAUUCUGUCUUAUUUAGGGAUAUUAGCACAUAAUUGAAUUUAUGUCUUUUUAAGUUUUUGUAAGCAAUACUCUAAAUGGGAGGUAAUGUGGAAUGAACAUCUGGCAUAUCUUCAUAUUUUGAAUAUGGAACCUUUUGUGAUCCAAGUCACUGAUGUACUUGCUAACUAUAUUUUCUGUAUAUGUGCAGUAGAAGGUUAAGCUCAAUUGAGCACUAAAGUUAGAAAGACAAACAUUCUUUUCCAUAAAAAUAAAUUUUAAGCUUUAUUUUUGGAUAUAAAGACUUCUUUCCAAUGCUAUUCUUCAUUUUGUUUUCUGUUUUUUUUUUUCAAAUUCAUAAACAAUCAAUAGAGGCCGAAUUACAAAAGAAAUCAGUGAAAAGUCAAAACAAUCUUGAGAACAAUAAAAAUACACAACUAUCUAAUAACAUCAUGGAUCUGCAACCAAGGUAUAGUCCUCAUUCAUCAAUGGGACUAAGUCCAAGAUUCACAGAUCUUAAUUCAGGAGAAGAAACAGACUUACAGAUGAAAUCAGAGGGAAAUAUUGAUGGCAAUGGAAGCAUUCAAUCAUCUGAUAGUGUGAAGCAGCUUCAACCAAGGCGAAUCCGUCAUUUAUUGAUGGGGCUAAUUCCAAGACCCAUGAAUAUUAUAAGAAGACGAG